CAGCCCUAAGCGGGUGGUAAACUCCAUCUAAGGCUAAAUAUGACCACGAGACCGAUAGCGAACAAGUACCGUGAGGGAAAGUUGAAAAGCACUUUGAAGAGAGAGUUCAAGAGUACGUGAAACCGUUUAGGGGUAAACCUGAGAAACCCGAAAGGUCGAAGGGAGAAAUUCAUUCGCGUUUCGUAGCAGGCGUAGGACGGGGUAGAGUGACGGAGGGAGCGUUCGCGCACUUUUCGCACCCUCCGUUCAACGAACCGGUAACGAACGCGUGCACUUUUCUCCUGGUAGGACGUCGCGAUCCGUUGGGUGUCGGUCUACGGCUCGCGGUGGAGUCCGUUCGUGCGUUUCACGACGUAUGGGCGGACCCGCGUGACCCGGCUGGCUCGCUCGACGGUAUAAGAACGGUUCAAGGCCGCUCUCCAGGAGCGUUCGGCUCGCGGCAAGCGCGCCAGAUGCGUCGGCCAUCGGACCCGGUGCCGAUUCUGACCUCUGGUGACUGUUGGCCGCGAAGUUCUCGAACAGACCUUCUUCUCAAAACCGAUCUGCGACGCUAUAGCUUUGGGUACUUUCAGGACCCGUCUUGAAACACGGACCAAGGAGUCUAGCAUGUGCGCGAGUCAUUGGGAAUCGCUAAACCUAAAGGCGCAAUGAAAGUAAAGAUCCCCCUCGCGGGGACUCAGGGAGGACGAGCGGUUUUCACCCUUAAAAGUGGCCGUUCCGCACUCCCGGGGCGUCUCGUUCUCAUCGCGAGAAGAGGCGCACCAAGAGCGUACACGCUGGGACCCGAAAGAUGGUGAACUAUGCCUGGUCAGGACGAAGUCAGGG
rnacentral:rRNA from 1 species